AGUAUCAGCCUUGUAGUUGUGUGUGCAAAUGCAAGAGCCCGCGACGUUUGUAGUCAUGAAUAGUCAGCGUUUUGCUGAUGUGUGCACCUUAAUAGGUGGUAAAAUCGCUACUUUCCGCUAAAAAAAAUAAUUGACUACUAUAUUAAUUUCAUAUACAUUAGCCAAUAUUAUAUUAUAUUACUAUUACUUAUAAAUUUAUAAUGUGAAAAAGAAAUCAAAGCCAUGAAGUGCGAGAAAUUUUACAAGGAGGGUGUGCUGACGCGAGAAGUGUAGUAGUUCAAGAACAAUGACAUAACUUUCGACGGAAAGCCUUAACAACAGGCGAUCGUAUUGCACGGCCCGCGACGAUCCAUUUGGGACACGAAUGUGUGAAGGGGAGGGAAUAUGGUCGAUCGUAUUGCGAUCAAGCGACAGCUAAGCUUGUACCUGAACAUCGGACGCCUCUCCCUCGGCCCAAGUCCCUGUCAGGACUCGGGCACUAAUAUGCCCACGUAAAAGGCACUGUUCAAGGAAUGGAGGACUUCACAUUUAUUCAUAGAAAUCAAUAUACAGAAACACCAUUUUUAAAAAAUAUUGCUUCAAAUGAAGAAUACUACCCCCAGUUUUCUUGUGCAUUAGAUAAAAUGAAUGACUUCGCUUUUAUAUGCCGCGCAAGAAAUAUUUUUCAUCCCUACAUGACAAACUCCAUUAACUUUCAAGGAAAACCAUUAAGAAAGCAGUUUACUGACAGAAAACCUCGCCAAGCCUACAAUACGUCACAGUUGGAACAACUUGAAAAAGAGUUCAACUUAAAUAAAUACCUCAGUGUUAGUAAGCGAGUUGAACUGUCAAAG